CAAUUGGAAUUCGAUGACAUUUGUCAACCAAGUCCGCGUGCUUAACUAACCUGAUCCCAUUAGUCGCCUCUUACGACAGGCGUGGGUUGCUGACCAGUUCUAACACGGAUCUUCACGGGUUUUACAAAAUGGAGUUGGGUAGACGACAAUAGUUUAGAAGUAAAACCUAAAGAUAACCCGAGAGCUGUAACUUUCGUUUUGUCGUUAUCUUAGUAUGCCACCAUAUCGUUUUCAGAGCCUUUCACCAUUUUGUAUGAAUCCGAGAGGAUUACCCUUUGCUUAUUUACACGUUCCUAGUUGUCAACAAUGCGUUUUGUUGUAUUUUUUAAAUUAAUUUUUUUUGUCGUUAUCAUGGUCUUCCAUCAUAAAGUUUUCACUAUUUUGUUUACAUCCGACGGGAUUACUUUUGCUUAUUUUAACCUUCCUAAAUGUCAACAAUGCGUUUUGUGGUAUUUAAACAAAAAAAAAAAAUUGAUUUGUCGUUAUCGUGUUAUUCCAUCAUGAAGUUUUCACUAUUUUGUAUAAAUCCGAGAGGAUUAACGUUUCUUAUUGUCAGCGAUGCGUUUUGUGGUAUUUAAAAAAAAAAAAAAAAUUGAUUUGUCGUUAUCGUGUUAUUCCAUCAUGAAGUUUUCACUAUUUUGUAUAAAUCCGAGAGGAUUACCUUUGCUUAUUUUCACGUUCCUAAUUGUCAGCCAUGCCUUUUGUUAUGCAUUGCUUUUGCAUUUGAGAUCAAUAAAACAUUUUAAUAUAA